rnacentral:rRNA from 2 species
UGACGGCGCGAGCAGGUGCGAAAGCAGGUCAUAGUGAUCCGGUGGUUCUGAAUGGAAGGGCCAUCGCUCAACGGAUAAAAGGUACUCCGGGGAUAACAGGCUGAUACCGCCCAAGAGUUCAUAUCGACGGCGGUGUUUGGCACCUCGAUGUCGGCUCAUCACAUCCUGGGGCUGAAGUAGGUCCCAAGGGUAUGGCUGUUCGCCAUUUAAAGUGGUACGCGAGCUGGGUUUAGAACGUCGUGAGACAGUUCGGUCCCUAUCUGCCGUGGGCGCUGGAGAACUGAGGGGGGCUGCUCCUAGUACGAGAGGACCGGAGUGGACGCAUCACUGGUGUUCGGGUUGUCAUGCCAAUGGCACUGCCCGGUAGCUAAAUGCGGAAGAGAUAAGUGCUGAAAGCAUCUAAGCACGAAACUUGCCCCGA